UGGGGAAUUUUCCGCAAUGGGCGAAAGCCUGACGGAGCAAUACCGCGUGAGGGAUGACGGCCUAUGGGUUGUAAACCUCUUUUUUCAGGGAGGAAUCAAA
rnacentral:rRNA from 1 species